UUAUAGCCAGAUCCACCAUUUCUCUGACGCAUCUCAGCAAGGCUAUGGCGCGGUGUCAUAUCUUAGAAUGGUCAAUCUAAAGGGGAAGGUCCACUGCUGUUUCCUGAUCGGAAAAUCCAGACUAGCACCAUUGAAGGCGAUCUCAAUUCCAAGAUUGGAACUUUCUGCGGCCGUUGUGGCGACUAGAUUGGACAAGAUGAUGCGCCAAGAGCUAGAUAUCCCGGUUGAGGAAUCCAUAUUUUGGACAGACAGCACAUGCGUCCUAAGCUACAUAAGAAACGAAAGCCGAAGAUUCCAGACUUUCGUCGCAAAUAGAAUUUCGAAGAUCCACGACGCAUCCGAACCAACUCAAUGGAGAUAUGUUAACACCAAACUAAACCCUGCAGACGAUUCCUCACGAGGUCUGACAGCUGAAGAAAUUGUAACGAGCGAAAGAUGGUUGAGAGGCCCAGAGUUUCUGUGGCAACCAGACGAACAAUGGCGAAGCCAACAUCAACCAAUUCCUGAGAAUUUGGAUAAUGACCCCGAGUUGAAGAGAGAAGCUACCGCCUUGUCUACAGCUACUGACGAGAAUGACAGCAUCAACUCCAUGUCACGGCGCUUCGAGAAGUUCUCUACUUGGAAGGGAUUGAGGAAAGCUGUCGCAUGGUUGAUACGUUGCAAACGCCGUCUUCAAGAAGCGGCGAAGCGACGCAAGAAUGGCGAAACGACACAACCUGGUGACCAAAGAAAGGAGACCAACCCAAUUAGUUUGGACGAACUAAAUCAUGCAGAGAAGGUGAUCCUUGGAAUAGCACAACGUAAGCGUUUCCAAAGCGAGAUAAACUUGCUCGAAAGACAGAAACCAAGCAAUCCCAGCAGUGAAUCAAGCACAACAGCAAAGUCGAAUCCGAAGAAGUCAAGCUCAAUUUAUAAAUUGAACCCAACGAUGGUGAACGGUCUGCUUUGCGUCGGAGGACGGUUAAACCACGCACCUAUCCAGAACGAUGCCAAGCACCCUGUAAUCCUUCCCCAGAAACAUCAUGUGGCGAAGCUGAUUGUCCUACAUUACCACCAGCUAUCAGGUCAUUCAGGAAUUGAAUACGUAUUGUCUACAUUACGACAGAAAUAUUGGAUAGUCAAGGCAAGAGCACUCGUUCGUAAAUGCUUGAAUGAUUGUUUUGACUGCAGACGAAGACAAUCUCCAGUUGGAGAGCAAAGAAUGGCAGAUCUACCCGAAAGCCGUGUUACACCUUGUCAACCUCCCUUCACCUUCACCGGUGUAGACUGUUUUGGGCCAUUCAACGUGCGACGAGGAAGAAGUCAAGUGAAAAGGUAUGGCGUCAUUUUCACUUGUCUGUCCAUCCGAGCCAUCCACAUAGAAGUGGCUUCAAGCCUCGACACCGACUCAUUCAUCAACGCCAUGAGAAGAUUUAUAGCGAGAAGGGGUACUCCAGCAGAAAUGCGAUCCGAUAAUGGCGGAAACUUUGUCAGUGGAGAAAAGGAACUUCGUCGCUGCAUUAAAGAUUGGAACCAACAAAAAAUUAAUGAAUUUUUACUACAGAAAGAGAUCAAAUGGAUCUUCAACCCACCAGCAGCAUCCCAUCAUGGCGGCGUUUGGGAACGCUGCAUACGAACGGUAAGAAAGGUGAUGAACGCCCUACUGAAGGAACAAGUCCUAGACGACGAAGGUUUGCUAACCCUGAUGUGUGAAGUGGAAGCAAUCAUCAAUGGCCGGCCCAUCACGAAGGUAUCGGACGAUUCAAGAGAUUGCGAAGCAUUAACCCCAAACCACAUUCUCCUGCUACGAGCCGGGUCGACACUCCCGCCCGGUAGAUUCGAGAAGGAAGACCUAUACACGAGAAAAAGAUGGCGUCAAGUCCAGUAUCUCGCUGAUGUGUUCUGGCGCCGUUGGCUCAAGGAAUACCUCCCUUCACUACAACAACGAGUUAAGUGGAACAAAGAGCGAAGAAAUUUC
rnacentral:lncRNA from 1 species